rnacentral:rRNA from 1 species
UCCGGUUGAUCCUGCCAGAGGCCGCUGCUAUCCGGCUGGGACUAAGCCAUGCUAGUCUAGGGGCUUGUACUCCUUCGGGGGUGCAAGCACCGGCGGACGGCUCAGUAACACGUGGACAACCUGCCCUCGGGUGGGGGAUAACCCCGGGAAACUGGGGCUAAUCCCCCAUAGGUGAUGGGUGCUGGAAUGCCCCAUCUCCGAAAGCGCUUAGCGCCCGAGGAUGGGUCUGCGGCGGAUUAGGUAGUUGGUGGGGUAACGGCCCACCAAGCCUAAGAUCCGUACGGGCUGUGGGAGCAGGAGCCCGGAGAUGGACCCUGAGACAAGGGUCCAGGCCCUACGGGGCGCAGCAGGCGCGAAACCUCCGCAAUGCGGGAAACCGCGACGGGGUUAGCCGGAGUGCCCGUGCAUUGC